rnacentral:rRNA from 1 species
GUCUUAUUGAUAAUAAUUUUAAGUCUUGCCUGCCCCCUGUUUAGAUAAAUGGCCGCAGUAUUCUGACUGUGCUAAGGUAGCAUAAUCAUUAGUUUUUUAAUUAAAAGCUAGAAUGAAGGGUAUUAUGAGAGAAUAACUGUCUCUUUUAUAAAGUUAAAAUUUUAUCUUUAAGUAAAAAAGCUUAAAUAAAGUUAAAAGACGAGAAGACCCUAUAGAAUUUUAUAUAAUUUGGUUUUUAAUUUAUUAGAAAUUAAAAUUUAUUUAUUUUUUUAUAUUUGAUUGGGGUGAUUAAAAAAUUUAAAAAACUUUUUUUUAUAAUACCAUUAAUAUAUGAUUAUAUGAUUCAUUAUAAUGAUUUAAGUAAAAAUUACCUUAGGGAUAACAGCGUAAUUUUUUUUUAUAGUUCAAAUAAAAAAAAGGGAUUGCGACCUCGAUGUUGGAUUAAAAU